rnacentral:sRNA from 1 species
AUAAAACUUCAAAAAUAUUUAAUAUCAUUUAAUUACUACAAAAUUAUCAUUUUUGAUAUUGCUUUUCUUCAUAAUUAUAACAAUUCGAUUAUAAUCAUCAAAGCGCAGAGAUAUUUGAUAGCAUUUAAUUACUACAAAAUUACAAAAUAUUUAGACAAUAAUUCAUAAACAUAUCAUAAAUAAGAUCAACAUUAAUAAAAUAAAUGGUUUUUUUACGGACUGGUUAGUGGGACGGGUUUGAUAGGACGUUACUUAAUAACAAUUGUAAACUAUAAAAUAAAAAUAUUUUAUAGAUAGAUACAAUUUGCAAACUUUUAUGUAUACUACCCUUAAAAAAUAAAUUGUUUCCGCGGUGUACCGCGGAUUAAAAUCUAGUAUUCAUAUAAAAAUGCUUGCUACAAAAUAUUUAGAGAGGAAGAAGCCUUGUGAGAAAAGGCACAAGUUUAAUUCAUGUUUU